UGCCCACUGAAGCAAAUCAAGCAACUUAUGGGGGUAGCGGUUUGAAGACAAUAAUUUGCAAGGAAGGGAUGGAAGAAAACCAUUUGAAGUUUGGAAUAAAGAAAGGAGAAAGCAAAGGAAAGAAAAAGGCAGAGGCGGAAAGGGGAAAGCAAUGCAGAGUUCCUUUGAGCUAAGCAAUUUCAACAGCCACAUAACUUGAGGUGGUGAACAUACCUUCCUCCUCCUAUUUUCCUCACAACAGACCAAACCGGAUGGAGGAAGUCUGCAAAGUCAAGCAAUAGACGCAGUUUACAUAGACUUCUGUGAAGCUUUUGAUUUGGUGGUACACGACAAAUUACUUCUAAAACUAAAAUCCUAUGGCAUUUCUAGACUCCUACAUAAAUGGAUAGCUGCCUUCCUGACAAACAGACAGACAACAAGUGGUCAAAAUAGGAAGUGCUCUAUCAAAUCCUGUACCUGUUAAUAGCCGUGUUCCCCAAGACAGUGUUUUAGGUCCAACACUCUUCAUACUUUACAUAAAUGACCUUUGCGAUCAUAUUGAAAGCAACUGGGUUCUCUUCGCUGACGCUGACGCAACAGACAAUGCAACUACCCUGCAAAAAUACCUUGGCUAUGUGUCAGAUUGGUCUAACAAGUGGCAACUUCAAAUCUCAAUCAACAAAUGCUCUGUCUUGCACAUUGGCAAAAAAAAAAUCAAAACAUAAAAUACAAAUUAGAUGGACAUGACCUUAUAGAUGACACUCUAGACAGACCCUCACUCUGUCAAGGACCUUGGAGUACUCAUUUCUAAAGAUCUAAGUGCCAGAGCCCACUGUAACAACAUUGCCAAAAAGGCACUAAGAGUUGUUAACCUAAUCUUGCAUAGCUUCUUCUCUGGUAAUAUUGUACCACUAACUAGAGCAUACAAAACAUUUGCUAGACCAAUUCUUGAAUACAGCUCAUCUGUCUUGAACCCGCACUGCAUAUCGGACAUAAAUACAAUUGAGAGAGUCCAGAGAUAUUUUAUGACAAGAUUCCUCCACUCCUUUACCCGCAAUAAAAUACCUUAUGCCACCAGACCCAAAAUUUUGGGCUUAGACAACUUAGAACUAUGCUGCCUAUGGUCUGACCUAAGCAUAGCACAUAAAAUUAUCUACCACAAUGUCCUACCUGUCAAUGACUACUUCAGCUUCAACCACAACAAUACAUGAGCAAAUAAUAGAUACAAACUCAAGGUAAACCGCUCCAGACUCGAUUGCAGAAAAUAUGACUUCAGUAAUAGAGUGGUCAAUGCCUGGAAUGCACUACCUGACUCUGUAGUUUCUUCCCCAAACCCCCAAAACUUUAAGCUUAAACUGUCUACUGUUAACCUCACCCCAUUCCUAAGGGGUCUGUAAGGGGCGUGCAUAAGUGCACCUGUGUGCCUACUGUCGCUGUCCUAAUAUUCCUUUUUACUUACUCUUUUCAUGUAU